AUCUAUGGUAGCGUGUAAUGAGAAAGGUUUUGCCCUUUGCUGUAUUCCAGUGAUCACAGUUUCUGAGCCCGUUACACGUUACCGCCAAC
rfam:Rodentibacter rarus strain CCTG17206 contig_56, whole genome shotgun sequence.